rnacentral:rRNA from 1 species
ACUUCCGUUAAUUGAUUAUGACGUGCUUGCACUGAAUGAGAUUUUAACACGAAGUGAGUGGCGGACGGGUGAGUAACACGUGGGUAACCUGCCCAGAAGCAGGGGAUAACACCUGGAAACAGAUGCUAAUACCGUAUAACAGAGAAAACCGCCUGGUUUUCUUUUAAAAGAUGGCUCUGCUAUCACUUCUGGAUGGACCCGCGGCGCAUUAGCUAGUUGGUGAGGUAACGGCUCACCAAGGCGAUGAUGCGUAGCCGACCUGAGAGGGUAAUCGGCCACAUUGGGACUGAGACACGGCCCAGACUCCUACGGGAGGCAGCAGUAGGGAAUCUUCCACAAUGGACGCAAGUCUGAUGGAGCAACGCCGCGUGAGUGAAGAAGGGUUUCGGCUCGUAAAGCUCUGUUGUUAAAGAAGAACGUGGGUGAGAGUAACUGUUCACCCAGUGACGGUAUUUAACCAGAAAGCCACGGCUAACUACGUGCCAGCAGCCGCGGUAAUACGUAGGUGGCAAGCGUUAUCCGGAUUUAUUGGGCGUAAAGCGAGCGCAGGCGGUCUUUUAAGUCUAAUGUGAAAGCCUUCGGCUCAACCGAAGAAGUGCAUUGGAAACUGGGAGACUUGAGUGCAGAAGAGGACAGUGGAACUCCAUGUGUAGCGGUGAAAUGCGUAGAUAUAUGGAAGAACACCAGUGGCGAAGGCGGCUGUCUGGUCUGUAACUGACGCUGAGGCUCGAAAGCAUGGGUAGCGAACAGGAUUAGAUACCCUGGUAGUCCAUGCCGUAAACGAUGAUUACUAAGUGUUGGAGGGUUUCCGCCCUUCAGUGCUGCAGCUAACGCAUUAAGUAAUCCGCCUGGGGAGUACGACCGCAAGGUUGAAACUCAAAAGAAUUGACGGGGGCCCGCACAAGCGGUGGAGCAUGUGGUUUAAUUCGAAGCUACGCGAAGAACCUUACCAGGUCUUGACAUCUUCUGCCAACCUAAGAGAUUAGGCGUUCCCUUCGGGGACAGAAUGACAGGUGGUGCAUGGUUGUCGUCAGCUCGUGUCGUGAGAUGUUGGGUUAAGUCCCGCAACGAGCGCAACCCUUAUUACUAGUUGCCAGCAUUCAGUUGGGCACUCUAGUGAGACUGCCGGUGACAAACCGGAGGAAGGUGGGGACGACGUCAAAUCAUCAUGCCCCUUAUGACCUGGGCUACACACGUGCUACAAUGGAUGGUACAACGAGUCGCGAAACCGCGAGGUUUAGCUAAUCUCUUAAAACCAUUCUCAGUUCGGACUGUAGGCUGCAACUCGCCUACACGAAGUCGGAAUCGCUAGUAAUCGCGGAUCAGCAUGCCGCGGUGAAUACGUUCCCGGGCCUUGUACACACCGCCCGUCACACCAUGAGAGUUUGUAACACCCAAAGCCGGUGGGGUA